UUAAGAAUCUGAUUACCCUUUAACUAAAUUAAAAAAGAAAUUGCGGGAUGAAGUGACUGGAAGUCCUUCAGGUAUGUUACUGCCGUGCAUGUUAUCCGCCUGUCUAGCGAUCUUUCCUGCCUCUUGUUCAGUUGUGGUAAUUCCUUUGGGUAAUGCGUUGGGCUCUAAAUGUAGUGCAUCUUGACUUCCUCCUGACCCCCCCGAGAUGUUAUCGGUCUUUGCCUUCCUCACAUUUCACAGGGCGUGGGAAGGCCAGAGAGGCUGGAAUCCUCGGCUGUUGUGUGUGGAGAAGCUGUCAGCCUUCUAAGAGAGCAUGUAGCCAGCAAGCGCAUCGUGGUGCUUCGGUACCGAGCUGAUACCACAGGCCUCAAUCUUUUUGUGAAAAGGGAUCACAAGGAAAUGUGCUGAUGUUGAAGGGGGAGAGGUGGCGGGGGAAGAGACCGCUUUCCUUGCUCGCUGCUUUCAGAUUUGAGCGUCGAUGCCACGGAUGUAACAGGAAAACAGCAGCAGGACGUAGAGCACAAGCCGUUUAAACAAUGCUUGGAUAAAGCUGCCAAUCGUGUGACUCCAGAAGCCGACGGACACGUGCUGUGAGUCUUGACAAAUUUGGGAAGAGCCCGAGGGAAAUUUUUCAUCCUGAGAUACAGAAGGGACCUGUGAAUUUUAAAUUUGGAGUCCUUUAUGCUAAGGGUGGGCAGCUUACAGAUGAUGAAAUGUUCAGCGAUGUGUGCGUUCCCACAAUUAAGUGGUGUGGAGCUGAAGGGGACUACAAUGGAAUGGUGAUGGAGCCGUUUGGACCGAGUCUUGAAGAUCUCUUCGGUUUUUGUUCAAGGAAAUUUAGUCUCGAGACAGUCCUAUUACUCGCUGACCAAAUGGUAGGAACCUGCUUUGUUGAUCUUGACGGUGCAGUAUGUUGGAAUAUUCAGAUUCCUUGAGAGAUCAGAACCAAAUAUGUUGUUUCUGUAAUUUAGAGGUGAAUAGGCCUGUUAUCAUGAAAGAAAAGACUCAACAUUGGUUUUGUUUCUCUUAAAUACAAAGUGCCCCAUCUAAAGUGAUUACAAAGUUUUAAUUGAUUU